rnacentral:rRNA from 1 species
CCUACGGGAGGCAGCAGUGAGGAAUAUUGGUCAAUGGUCGGGAGACUGAACCAGCCAAGCCGCGUGAGGGAGGAAGGUACAGAGUAUCGUAAACCUCUUUUGUCAGGGAACAAAGACUGGGACGCGUCCCCGGAUGAGUGUACCUGAAGAAAAAGCAUCGGCUAACUCCGUGCCAGCAGCCGCGGUAAUACGGAGGCUGCGAGCGUUAUCCGGAUUUAUGGGGUUUAAAGGGUGCGCAGGCGGACUGUUAAGUCAGCGGUCAAAGCCCGGGGCUCAACCCCGGUCCGCCGUUGAAACUGGCAGUCUCGAGUUGGAGAGAAGUAUGCGGAAUGCGCGGUGUAGCGGUGAAAUGCAUAGAUAUCGCGCAGAACUCCGAUUGCGAAGGCAGCAUGCCGGCUCCACACUGACGCUGAGGCACGAAAGCGUGGGUAUCGAACAGGAUUAGAUACCCGAGUAGUC